GAUGAAGAACGUAGCGAAAUGCGAUACGUAAUGUGAAUUGCAGAAUUCAGUGAAUCAUCGAGUCUUUGAACGCACAUUGCGCCCCCUGGUAUUCCGGGGGGCAUGCCUGUCCGAGCGUCAUUGCUGCCCUCAAGCACGGCUUGUGUGUUGGGCCUCCGUCCUCCUCCCGGGGGACGGGCCCGAAAGGCAGCGGCGGCACCGCGUCCGGUCCUCGAGCGUAUGGGGCUUCGUCACCCGCUCUUGUAGGCCCGGCCGGCGCUUGCCGACACAUCAAUCUUUUUUCCAGGUUGACCUCGGAUCAGGUAGGGAUACCCACUGAACUUAAGCAUAUCAAUAAGCGGAGGA
rnacentral:misc_RNA from 1 species